GCGUGCACGCGCAGCGGCGUGAAGACUUCUUUCGGUUUGCUGCCUCAUCGUGGGAUUAUAUGAAAAUUUUAAAUGUUUUUUUUAACCGAGUCUUCAACCAAGACCGAAAGGCGGUCGUCAACCUGGCUGGGGCUGUUUUAUGUUUGGGACUUUCGCCUGAUUGAGGAGGAGGAGGAGGGUCGUUGCCAGAAAAACGCAUAUGAUUGUUAUUUUUAUUAUUGACCCAUUUAUCUCUUUUGGAGUCGCUUGCUGGGCAAAUCUUAUUUUGCCUAAGUUAACUCUGUGGAGUGUUCGUUGAGAUUUGAGACAUUAAAGGACAGAGGUGAGCCUUUUCUUGGCCUUUAGUCAUGUGCAAUAAAUACAGAAUGUGGUUUCUGGGUUAGAAUUCUCGUCUACGCGUGUGGUCACUGACUGACCCACAGGUUUGAAACGGAUGUGUGAAAAGAAAAGUCGUGGUACUAAAGUUCUUGAUCUAACUUGUUGGGUGAAGCAUAAACAGAGGGUAAGCAUAUACCCUUACCCUGGCCCACGUCCAAAUCCUCAGGACAAGGAAGGCUCACAAUGUGUGUUUCACCUUUUAAACAACCUCGGGCAAGUAAGAUCUAGGUCUACUACAGAACUUAAGGAAAUUUUAUAUUACUUUUCCGUGCAAGCUUUUGUUGUGCGGAGUGGAAUGCACAAAUUCCAAGUGUCAGUCACUUGUCUUAUUGAAGGAGAACAAAAGUGCUGGAGCUAUUCACCGGGCCGGACAAUAUCUGUGGAGAAAGUGAUUGAUGAGAAGGCCUUUGGUGUCAGAUCAAUCACGCACAAUUGAGUUUCAUCACCACACCAACUGCCUUGGAGGCGGCUACACUGAGGAUGAGGUGUUCAUCCAUUUCCAUUGGGAAUGUAAUUUCACUAAGAAGGUCUGAAAAAGGGUGCUUUUGUGCUUUCAUGGAGUUUCAUGUUGGAACGUCAAGAGAACACAGGACACUAUGCUAAAGGCUGCUCCCAACCACGCACAGAGAAAAUAUCAAUUGCUGCUGGGAUAUUAUCAACUUGGUGAAAGAUACUCUUUGGUCAGUCUGAAACCUGCUGGUCUUGGAGUGCGAGGAUCGGUCCACUGCCAAAUGUUGCAGACUGAUACAUUCCAAGGUCUAGGAUUCUCUACUGAGAGAUGCAGUGAAGCAUGCUGCAUCUACUGCAAGGACUUCAUGGGAAAAGGCCAAAGUUUAAGACAGUCCUGCAGUUGCACACAGAGGGGCUGGAACUUGGACUUUCACCCAUGGAAUCUUAUUUCAGAAGGCAGCCAUAUAUAGAAAAGAGUGGUGAAAGGGAACAGAUUUUCUCUCACGAAGAAUCUUUGACAGCCAGUUCAACCUCAGGGUAUGGCUUAACUGGAUGGUGAAGGAUUUCUGAGUCUGGCUUGUUCCGGCCCUGCCACAGGACGAGAUUUUCAUUCUGCACUACUCAGAGCCUCAGCAAGCAAUUCAGAGUUGCCUUAACUACGAAUAUUUACACCGGGGCACCCAUUUGAGGGAAAAGCAGACAGGUGAAUGGUGACUACAGGCAACAAGCCCCUCUGAGGAAAUUUUAGGUCAAUAAAAACAAAAGAUAUGCCAUCUGAAUGUCUACCAGUUCUUCAGUAACUUCAGGGAAGUAAUUGUAGAAGUCGAUGUUGUACAUGGAGUUAUGAGCAGAGAGGAAAGCAGGGAAUCGUGCUUGAAUAGAUUGCAAAUCGAAGAUGGCAAAACCAAGUCAGAAGAAAUAUUGUUCCAUCAUCAACAUCUGCACUGUCAACGAGAUAACCACUUAUUCUGUGGAUUAGAGGCCAAGUCUCCACAAUGUCUUCCUUGGGUUAAUCCUAGAAAUCAACCUUGCUAACUUACAGUGAACUUUGUCUCAGUCCACUUUGACAUCUGCAACUGAGUCAGCUUGGUAAACCAAAGGAUGACAACAGGCUACAUGCUGAAGACAUGGCCUAAGACUGUAAGAAACAACCAUAAGGACACCAAAGAGCAGUCUGGAUCUGCAUAGGAGUGUGCUGAAUGUGCAUGGAACCAUCUAAGUUUAAUGACAGAAAGUCAAUGUUGCACGAUAAAGACUAAGAUAAGAUAUUUUUAUUAGUCACAUGAACAUCGAAACACACAGUGAAAUACAUCUUUUGCAAAGAAUGUUCUGGGGGCAGCCCACAAGUGUCACCACGCUUCUGGUGCCAACAUAGCAUGUCCACAACUUCCUAACCCAUACAUCUUUGGAAUGUGGGAGAAAACUGGAGCACCCAAAGGAAACCCACACAGACACAGGGAGAACGUACAAACUCCUUAUAGACAGUGGCUGGAAUUGAACUUGAACAUCCACUGCAGCACUCGGAUGUUGGAUAGCUUUUACGACAUCAUUCUUCAGACUCUGCAUAGCGACUGGCUUUGUGAGUGUGUUAAUGCUUUUGAUCGCUAAUUCUGUGCUGGAAAGGAUGGGCUUCAAGCUCUUCACAAACCCUGUGCAAAACAGCUGCUGGUGUUCCAACUCCUUGACAUUCAACUUAGGCUUUAUGGGGGACCUGCUUUUGCACCAAAGAUUUUGUUGUAUGUGCCCAUCAGCCACCUUUUGUAACCUGCUCAUCUGAAUCUUCUAGAACAGAAUCCUUGUGCAAGCUCACUUUCGAGGAAGCUGCCACACGUUACCUUCUCUCCCUCUCCCCUGAGAGCCACUUGUGUCCAGUGUCGUGCCACAUGCAGGUUCCACUUCAAGUAACCAGUAGCUGCAAGUGUGAAACUGAGUUUCUUCAUAAUCUGUCUUUUUGCUCCUCCAACUGUUGUUCUUGCAGCACUGUUUGGAUAUCUGAAAGG